rnacentral:rRNA from 1 species
CCUACGGGUGGCAGCAGUGAGGAAUAUUGGUCAAUGGACGUAAGUCUGAACCAGCCAUCCCGCGUGCAGGAAGAAGGCGCUAUGCGUCGUAAACUGCUUUUCCAGGGGAAGAAAACCUGAUACGUGUAUCGGCUUGCCGGUACCCUGGGAAUAAGCAUCGGCUAACUCCGUGCCAGCAGCCGCGGUAAUACGGAGGAUGCGAGCGUUAUCCGGAUUUAUUGGGUUGUAGGGGUGCGUAGGCGUCAGCAGUGAAAACCUUCAGCUUAACUGGAGACUUGCCAUUGAUACUGUUAGUCUUGAGUACGGUCAAGGUAGGCGGAAUGUGUAAUGUAGCGGUGAAAUGCUUAGAUAUUACACAGAACACCGAUUGCGAAGGCAGCUUACUGGGCCAUUACUGACGCUGAUGCACGAAAGCGUGGGGAGCGAACAGGAUUAGAUACCCUAGUAGUC